AAAAUAUGUAUUUUAAAGAUACUUUCAAAACUUCACAUUCUAAAUAUUUUCACACACAUGUGAGUAAAAAUACCAGUAUAAUGGACUCCCACUGCCCACCAGCUAGCUUCAAUAAUUAUUUAUAUUUUCCUAGCUUCUUCCCUAUUCUCCAAGUUUUUUUUUUUGUUGUUGUUGAACAGAUGACUCUAAACCAAAUGCCAGGUAGCCUGUGAUUUCUGCCUAGAACGACUCUGGCAUUUUAAUUUCCUACUUAAGGAAUUGUUUACUUUACCAAACUCACAACACCAUGAUCAUGCUUAACAAAAGUAAUAAUUCCUUACUACAGUCUUAUAUCAAAUUUGUGGAUUUUUCUUUUCUUUUCUUUUUUUCCAUUUUGGUUGUCUCACAAAGGUCUUUUCACAUUUAGUUUGUUUGUAGGAGGAUCCAAACAAGGUUGACUUUGGCUUUUGUUUGAAAUGUCUCAUUUCUUUUCCUCUGACAAUGGUCGCCCACCCGUCCUAACCCAGGACGUUCAUCAUAUUUGUCCAACCUCUUCAUUUCCUUGAAACUGAGGAAAUUGAAAAGUGGAGAGGCUAAGAAACUUGGCCAAGGUCACUUGGUGAGUGGACUCACCAAAUUGGACUCUCUCUGGGGUGAGACGCAGCCCCGGGUGAGAAUGGGGAACAGCUUCAUCUCUGGCCUCAGGGAGCUCAUCGCUAGAGGUGGGGACCGGUGCUGAAGCAGAUGAUAACUCAGGAGGCAGACUCUGAUGAGGCCUAGGGCCUGGGCCCUGUGCAGCCUGGAUGAGGGGCCUUCGGAAGUGGCAGGGCUGGGCCACCCCGAGUCCUCCAGGGGGAGAAUUAUCCGAGAAAACAAGGGGGCCAGGA